rnacentral:rRNA from 1 species
CUCGUAGGUGGUUUGUCGCGUUGUCCGUGAAAACUCACAGCUCAACUGUGGGCGUGCGGGCGAUACGGGCAGACUGGAGUACUGCAGGGGAGACUGGAAUUCCUGGUGUAGCGGUGGAAUGCGCAGAUAUCAGGAGGAACACCGGUGGCGAAGGCGGGUCUCUGGGCAGUAACUGACGCUGAGGAGCGAAAGCGUGGGGAGCGAACAGGAUUAGAUACCCUGGUAGUCCACGCCGUAAACGGUGGGUACUA